rnacentral:rRNA from 1 species
UGUUGACCUCGAAUCAGGUAGGAAUACCCGCUGAACUUAAGCAUAUCAAA